GAUGAACGCUGGCGGCGUGCCUAAUACAUGCAAGUCGAGCGAACAGAUGAGGAGCUUGCUCCUCUGACGUUAGCGGCGGACGGGUGAGUAACACGUGGAUAACCUACCUAUAAGACUGGUAUAACUUCGGGAAACCGGAGCUAAUACCGGAUAAUAUAUUGAACCGCAUGGUUCAAUAGUGAAAGACGGUUUUGCUGUCACUUAUAGAUGGAUCCGCGCCGCAUUAGCUAGUUGGUAAGGUAACGGCUUACCAAGGCAACGAUGCGUAGCCGACCUGAGAGGGUGAUCGGCCACACUGGAACUGAGACACGGUCCAGACCCCUACGGGAGGCAGCAGUAGGGAAUCUUCCGCAAUGGGCGAAAGCCUGACGGAGCAACGCCGCGUGAGUGAUGAAGGUCUUCGGAUCGUAAAACUCUGUUAUUAGGGAAGAACAAAUGUGUAAGUAACUAUGCACGUCUUGACGGUACCUAAUCAGAAAGCCACGGCUAACUACGUG
rnacentral:rRNA from 1 species